UCUGCGGGCCCGCAUGGAGGUAUAGGCUCAGGGGGUGGGACGGAGAGCCCCGCAUCCGGUGGAGGGUCUGGGUAAGGGGCGGCAGGCGCCAUGUCGGGUCGCGGAGGUGGCAAGAAGAAGCCCCUGAAGCAGCCCAAGAAGCAAGCCAAGGAGAUGGACGAGGAAGAUAAGGCAUUCAAGCAGAAACAGAAGGAGGAGCAAAAGAAACUCGAGGAGCUAAAAGCGAAGGCCGCGGGGAAAGGCCCCCUGGCCACAGGCGGAAUUAAGAAAUCUGGCAAAAAGUAAGCUGUUCCUUGUGCCUGAGGCAAUGAUGAUCCUUAGUUCCAUUCCUGUUUAAACAUCUGGAUUAAACAUCUGGAUUCCCUGCCAUAACAUCUGUUGCCACCUAUAGCUAGAAUGAAGUGUUGUCUUGGAACCUAUUGUACAUUUAAGAAUAAACUUUUGUAAAAAAAAAAAAAAUCUUACAGUGGUUCAUCUUGUCUUUAGUUCUUCUCAGCCAUUUCUACCUUAGCUGUGAGAUCUGCAUAAACCCAGCGCAGAAUCCUGCCAAAGUGUGUUCUUAAGUCCCUGUUCUAUCCUGAAUUCUGUACCACCUGGAAUUAAACCAACUCAUUUGAAAUG